GAUGAACGCUAGCGGGAGGCUUAACACAUGCAAGCCGAGGGGUAUAGUUCUUUCGGGAACUCGAGACCGGCGCACGGGUGCGUAACGCGUAUGCAACUUGCCCUACUGAAAAGGAUAGCCCUUCGAAAGGAGGAUUAAUACUUUAUAACAGAUUUAAUGGCAUCAUUAGAUUUUGAAAGAUUUAUCGCAGUAGGAUAGGCAUGCGUAAGAUUAGUUAGUUGGUGAGGUAACGGCUCACCAAGACGAUGAUCUUUAGGGGGCCUGAGAGGGUGAACCCCCACACUGGUACUGAGACACGGACCAGACUCCUACGGGAGGCAGCAGUGAGGAAUAUUGGACAAUGGGUGGAAGCCUGAUCCAGCCAUCCCGCGUGUAGGAUGACGGCCUUAUGGGUUGUAAACUACUUUUAUCUGGGGAUAAACCUACUUACGUGUAAGUAGCUGAAGGUACCAGAAGAAUAAGCACCGGCUAACUCCGUG
rnacentral:rRNA from 1 species